GAUUAAGAACGUAGCGAAAUGCGAUAAGUAAUGUGAAUUGCAGAAUUCAGUGAAUCAUCGAAUCUUUGAACGCACCUUGCGCCCUUUGGCCAUUCCGAAGGGCAUGCCUGUUUGAGUAUCAUGAACACCUCAACUCUUCAUGGUUUUCCGUGAUGAGCUUGGACUUUGGGGGUCUUGCUGGCCUAUGGUCAGCUCCUCUAAAAUAAAUCAGCUUGCCAGUGUUUGGUGGGUAUCACAGGUGUGAUAACUAUCUACGCUUGUGGUUUUCCACCAGGUAACCUUCAGCAGUGGAGGUUCGCUGGAGCUCACAGAUGUGUCUCUCCUCAGUGAGGACAGCUCUUUGAAUGUUUGAUCUCAAAUCAGGUAGGACUACCCGCUGAACUUAAGCAUAUCAAUAAGCGGAGGA
rnacentral:misc_RNA from 1 species